AGGGCGCACGGCGGAUGCCUUGGCACAGGAAGUCGACGAAGGACGCGGCAAGCUGCGAUAAGCUGCGGGGAGGGGCAAACACCCUUUGAUCCGCAGGUCUCCGAAUGGGGGAACCCAGCAGGGGUCAUGCCCUGCUAUCCCCGCCUGAAUCAAAUAGGGCGGGCGAAGGCAACCGGGGGAACUGAAACAUCUAAGUACCCCGAGGAAGAGAAAUCAACCGAGAUUGCGCGAGUAGCGGCGAGCGAAAGCGCACCAGCCCAAACCCGGGCGCGUGUAAGCGGCAGGCGUUGCCGCCCGGGGGUUGCGGGACACCCGUCCAGGUGCUGCCCACCUGGGAGUGGUCACAAAUCCGUCAGGUAGCGGAACGGCAUGGAAGGGCCGGCCGCAGCGGGUGAGAGCCCCGUACGCGAAACCUGACGGACCACUGCGGUGCAUCCCGAGUAGGGCCGGGCACGUGAAACCCGGUCCGAAGCCGGGGGGACCACCCUCCAAGGCUGAACACUCUCCUGUGACCGAUAGCGAACCAGUACCGUGAGGGAAAGGUGAAAAGCACCCCGAGAGGGGAGUGAAACAGUACCUGAAACCGUGCGCCCACAAGCAGUCGGAGCAACCUUGCGUUGUGACGGCGUGCCUUUUGUAGAAUGAGCCAGCGAGUUGCGGUGUGCGGCGAGGUUAAGUUUGGAAACGAGCCGCAGCGAAAGCGAGCCUUUAAGAUGGCGAGUGAGUCGCACGCUGCAGACGCGAAGCCGGGUGAGCUAUCCUGGGGCAGGCUGAAGCGGGGGUAAGACCCCGUGGAGGGCCGAACCCACUUCGGUUGAAAACGGAGGGGAUGACCCCAGGAUAGGGGUGAAAGGCCAAUCAAACCCGGAGAUAUCUCGUUCUCCCCGAAAUAGCUUUAGGGCUAGCCUCGGCCGUUAACCCGCGGUGGUAGAGCCACCGGAUCGACGAGGGGGCUUCACCGCCUACCGACUCGAACCGAACUCCGAAUGCCGCGGGUCGAGAGGCCGGGAGUCAGAGGGCGUGGGCUAAGCUGCGCGCUCGAGAGGGAAACAGCCCAGACCGCCCGCUAAGGUCCCCAAGUCAUCGCUGAGUGGCAAAGGAUGUGCGUCUGCCCAGACAACCAGGAUGUUGGCUUAGAAGCAGCCAUGCAUUUAAAGAGUGCGUAACAGCUCACUGGUCGAGUGGACAUGCGCCGACAAUUCACGGGGCUAAGCGAUGCACCGAAGCGGCGGACUGAUCUUUCAGUGGUAGGGGAGCUUUCCGCGACCGGCGAAGCCGCAGGGCGACCUGCGGUGGAGGGCGCGGAAGUGAGAAUGCUGGCAUGAGUAACGAGACCAGGGCGAGAAACCCUGGCGCCGUGAGCCUAAGGGUUCCUGGGCGAGGCUAAUCCCCCCAGGGUCAGUCGGGAGCUAAGGCGAGGCCGCGAGGCGUAGCCGAUGCGCAGCGGGCAGACAUUCCCGCACCGCCGACGGCGCGGCAUUACCGAUGGGGCGACGGAGAAGGGUAGCCGGGCGGGGUUCUGGACGUCCCCGUGAAAGCGCGUAGGGCGCAGGGCAUGGAAAUCAGCCCUGCACGAGGCCUGAGACGCGAGACGAAGCGACCGAGCGAAGCCGGUGAGCCCAUGCUUCCGAGAAAAACCUCUAGGGAGUGCCGUCGGCGCCCGUACCAAAACCGACACAGGUGGGCGGGUAGAACAUACCGAGGCGAUCGGGAGAACCACGGUUAAGGAACUCGGCAUACUGGCCCCGUAACUUCGGGAGAAGGGGCGCCCCCGCCGGUGAAGGCACUUGCUGCCGGAGCUAGUGGGGGCCGCAGCGAAACGGCCCAAGCGACUGUUUAUCAAAAACACAGGACUCUGCAAAGCCGCAAGGCGACGUAUAGGGUCUGACGCCUGCCCGGUGCCGGAAGGUUACGCGGAUGCGUCAGCCGAAAGGCGAAGCGCUGAAGCCAAGCCCCGGUAAACGGCGGCCGUAACUAUAACGGUCCUAAGGUAGCGAAAUUCCUUGUCGGGUAAGUUCCGACCUGCACGAAUGGCGUAACGAUCUCCACACUGUCUCGGCCAGAGACUCGGUGAAAUUGAAGUCGCGGUGAAAAUGCCGUGUACCCGCAGAAAGACGGAAAGACCCUGUGCACCUUUACUAUAGCUUGACAUUGGGAUUUGAGCCUGCAUGUGUAGCAUAGGUGGGAGGCUGUGAACUCUGUACGCCAGUAUGGAGGGAGCCAUCGUUGAAAUACCACCCUUGUUUGUUCAGGUCCCUAACUCUUCGCCGUGAUCCGGUAAGAGGACAGUGUCUGGUGGGUAGUUUGACUGGGGCGGUCGCCUCCCAAAAUGUAACGGAGGCAUGCAAAGGUUCCCUCAGGCUGAUUGGAAACCAGCCGUCGAGUGCAAACGCAAAAGGGAGCUUGACUGCAAGAGAGACAUCUCGAGCAGGUACGAAAGUAGGUGUUAGUGAUCCGGUGAUCCCGAAUGGAAGGGUCAUCGCUCAUUGGAUAAAAGGUACGCCGGGGAUAACAGGCUGAUCGCAUCCAAGAGUUCACAUCGACGAUGCGGUUUGGCACCUCGAUGUCGGCUCAUCACAUCCUGGGGCUGAAGCAGGUCCCAAGGGUACGGCUGUUCGCCGUUUAAAGUGGUACGCGAGCUGGGUUUAAAACGUCGUGAGACAGUUUGGUCCCUAUCUUCUGUGGGCGUAGGAGAAUUGAAAGGGCCUGUCCCUAGUACGAGAGGACCGGGAUGGACACACCACUGGUGGACCUGUUGUCGUGCCAACGGCACAGCAGGGUAGCUAUGUGUGGAAGGGAUAACCGCUGAAAGCAUCUAAGCGGGAAGCCUGCCUUAAGAUAAGUUCU
rnacentral:rRNA from 1 species